AGUGAACGCUGGCGGUAGGCCUAACACAUGCAAGUCGAACGGCAGCACAGUAAGAGCUUGCUCUUACGGGUGGCGAGUGGCGGACGGGUGAGGAAUACAUCGGAAUCUACUUUUUCGUGGGGGAUAACGUAGGGAAACUUACUCUAAUACCGCAUACGACCUACGGGUGAAAGCAGGGGAUCUUCUGACCUUGCGCGAUUGAAUGAGCCGAUGUCGUAUUAGCUAGUUGGCGGGGUAAAGGCCCACCAAGGCGACGAUCCGUAGCUGGUCUGAGAGGAGGAUCAGCCACAAUGGAGCGGAGAGCCGGACCAGAAUCCAACGGGAGGCAGCAGUGGGGAAGAUUGGACAAUGGGCGAAAGCCUGAUCCAGCCAUACCGCGUGGGUGAAGAAGGCCUUCGGGUGGUAAAGCCCUUUUGUGGUGAAAGAAAAGCAGCAGGUUAAUACCCCGCUGUUCUGACGGUACCGAAAGAAUAAGCACCGGCUAACUUCGU
rnacentral:rRNA from 1 species